UUUUGUUCAACCAUAAAAAGUAACGUCUGCCCAGUGACUGAGGAGUUUAACGGCCGCUUCAUUUGUGCUAAGGUAGCAUAAUCAUUUGUCUUUUCAUUGGAGACCAGCAUGAAUGGCAUAACGAAGCUUUACUGUCUCUAUUUAUUAAAAGAAAAUUGAUCAAAAAGUGAAAAUGCUUUUAUACUAAUGAAGGACAGAAAGACCCUAUAGAGCUUUAAUAUAACCAAGGAAAAACAAUCUCAAAACAUAAAACUACUAAGUACUUGAAUAUUUUUAUUGGGGCAAUAAAAUGAAAAUUAAACACCAAAAUUUGCUAUAACAAACAAAAUAAACCUCAAAGAGAACACACAUAAGCUACCUUAGGGAUAACAGCGUUAUCUUACCGAAGAGACCUAAUCGAAGGUAAGGUUUGCGACCUCGAUGUUGGACUAAGAAGACCAAAAGAUGUAGAAGUCUUUAACAGUUGGCCUGUUCGGCCUAUAA
rnacentral:rRNA from 1 species